CAUUGGUCUGGGCAAAUCUUUUCUUCUUUUUUGUCCUAAACAUUUUAUAAUUGAGAUUAGAGAGUCCAUCAGCUCCCGGGGACUUCCCUGGAGGUAGGAGUGUGAUUUUGCUGAUGGUAAUAGGUUGUAGGAGGGAUUGUACUUGUUCCUCAGUGAGUCUAGGUAGUGUGAUAUUACUUAGGUGGUGAUUGAUUUCCAAUGGCAUAGGGGUGGUUAUAUUUUUGUUGUGUU